UGGGGAAUAUUGCGCAAUGGGGGCAACCCUGACGCAGCAACGCCGUGUGAGUGAUGACGGCCCUCGGGUUGUAAAGCUCUGUCAGUGGGAAAGAUGGGAGUUGUGGCCAAUAACCACAGCUUUUGACGGUACCCACAAAGGAAGCACCGGCUAACUCCGUGCCAGCAGCCGCGGUAAGACGGAGGGUGCAAGCGUUGUUCGGAAUCACUGGGCGUAAAGCGCGCGUAGGCGGCUAGGUAAGUCGGAUGUGAAAGCCCAGGGCUCAACCCUGGAACUGCAUCCGAAACUGCUUGGCUUGAGUCCCGGAGAGGGUGGUGGAAUUCCUGGUGUAGAGGUGAAAUUCGUAGAUAUCAGGAGGAACAUCGGUGGCGAAGGCGACCACCUGGACGGUGACUGACGCUGAGGUGCGAAAGCGUGGGUAGCAAACAGGAUUAGAUACCCCCGUAGUCC
rnacentral:rRNA from 1 species